rnacentral:rRNA from 1 species
UACGUAGGGCGCAAGCGUUAUCCGGAAUUAUUGGGCGUAAAGAGCUCGUAGGCGGUUUGUCGCGUCUGCUGUGAAAGCCCGGGGCUCAACUCCGGUUCUGCAGUGGGUACGGGCAGACUAGAGUGCAGUAGGGGAGACUGGAAUUCCUGGUGUAGCGGUGAAAUGCGCAGAUAUCAGGAGGAACACCAAUAGCGAAGGCAGCUCGCUGGGACGGUACUGACGCUGAGGAGCGAAAGCGUGGGGAGCGAACAGG